GCUAGGGGGUCAUCCCGACUUACCAACCCGAUGCAAACUACGAAUACCGAAGAAUGUUAUCACGGGAGACACACGGCGGGUGCUAACGUCCGUCGUGAAGAGGGAAACAACCCAGACCGCCAGCUAAGGUCCCAAAGUCAUGGUUAAGUGGGAAACGAUGUGGGAAGGCACAGACAGCCAGGAUGUUGGCUUAGAAGCAGCCAUCAUUUAAAGAAAGCGUAAUAGCUCACUGGUCGAGUCGGCCUGCGCGGAAGAUGUAACGGGGCUAAACCAUGCACCGAAGCUGCGGCAGCGACACUAUGUGUUGUUGGGUAGGGGAGCGUUCUGUAAG
rnacentral:rRNA from 1 species